UACGAACUGUGCGAACGUUAUUCGGAAUCACUGGGCUUAAAGGGUGCGUAGGCGGCUGCUUAAGUCAGGUGUGAAAUCUCCCGGCUCAACCGGGAAACUGCGCUUGAUACUGGGCGGCUCGAGUGAGGUAGGGGUGUGUGGAACUUCCGGUGGAGCGGUGAAAUGUGUAGAUAUCGGAAGGAACGCCAGCAGCGAAAGCGGCACACUGGGCCUUUUCUGACGCUGAGGCACGAAAGCCAGAGGAGCGAACGGG
rnacentral:rRNA from 1 species